CCUACGGGAGGGCAGCAGUGGGGAAUAUUGGGAAAUGGGCGCAAGCCUGACCCAGCAACGCCGCGUGAAGGAAGCAGGCUUACGGGUUGUAAACUUCUUUUAAGAGGGAAGAACAGAAGACGGUACCUCUUGAAUAAGCCACGGCUAACUACGUGCCAGCAGCCGCGGUAAUACGGCGGUGGCAAGCGUUCUCAGGAUUUACUGGGUGUAAAGGGAGAGUAGCCGGGAAGACAAGUCAGAUGUGAAAUACAGCGGCUCAACCGCGGAACUGCAUUUGAAACUGUUUUUCUUGAGUACCGUAGAGGUCGUCGGAAUUCCGUGUGUAGCGGUGAAAUGCGUAGAUAUAAGGAAGAACACCAGUGGCGAAGGCGGAUGACUGAACGGCAACUGACGGUGAGGCGCGAAAGCGUGGGGAGCAAACAGGAUUAGAUACCCGAGUAGUC
rnacentral:rRNA from 1 species